rnacentral:ncRNA from 1 species
UGGUGCAUGGCCGUUCUUAGUUCGUGGAAUGAUUUGUCUGGUUAAUUCCGAUAACGAACGUGACUCACAUAUGCUAACUAGAACGCAGUCAGCGUUAAUGCGUUGAUGCC